rnacentral:rRNA from 1 species
GAUGAACGCUGGCGGCGUGCCUAAUACAUGCAAGUCGAGCGAACAGACGAGGAGCUUGCUCCUCUGACGUUAGCGGCGGACGGGUGAGUAACACGUGGAUAACCUACCUAUAAGACUGGGAUAACUUCGGGAAACCGGAGCUAAUACCGGAUAAUAUAUUGAACCGCAUGGUUCAAUAGUGAAAGACGGUUUUGCUGUCACUUAUAGAUGGAUCCGCGCCGCAUUAGCUAGUUGGUAAGGUAACGGCUUACCAAGGCAACGAUGCGUAGCCGACCUGAGAGGGGGAAGGGCCAAAUUGGAAAUGAGAACCGGUCCAAACCCCUAGGGGAGGCAGCAGUAGGGAAUUUUCCGAAAUGGGGGAAAGCUUGACGGAGCAACGCGGGGGGAGGAAAGAAGGGCUUCGGAUCGUAAAACUUUUUUAUUAGGGAAAAAAAAAUGUUAAAGUAACUAUGCACGUCUUGACGGUACCAAAAAAAAAAGCCACGGCUAACUACGU